GGUGUACCCCGCCUCCUGCCUGAUGAUAGCUGGGAUAGGCUCCAGCACGACCGCGAGCCUAGUGAGGAGAAGCGGCUCAGAAAAUGGAUGGAUGGAUGAUUCAAAUCAUUUGCAGUUAGGUACAUUUCCUGUGUGUAUCAAACUCAAGCCUAAAAAUCCUGAUGCACAGUCAGACUCAUCAAGGGGUUGUGUACUUAUUCACAAAUAAAGUGGUUAAUCUUGCAUCACGAUUAUUCCAGAUGGUGCCUGAGUUACUCAGAGCGAGAGCAAUAUAUGACAACCAGAAUGUCACAUCAAAUGAUGCUAAUAUUGCCAUGGACGUCAUUGAAAUUCUACCACAAUCAAUUCGCAACUAUGUGUGUAUCCAGGCUAUGGUUGACAAUAAGCCAGUCAGUACUCAAACAUCAUGGGUGAGUUGGAAUAUAAUAUACUGUAUUUAUCAAGUGCUUUGAUCACUCCCUCAAAUCAUUGCAAUCAUUACCUCCUCACUCACACAAAGUUUUCACAUUUUCAGUAUAAGCGACAUUAUGGGACCCAAGUCACAUCGACAGUGAGCCAGAGGCAUAAAAAAGUUCAGUGUGACCCAGCUGUGGGAGCAGUCUCCAAGAUGACACAAACUAACUGGGCAGAAGACGUAGGCCCUUCGUAUGUGCAUGCUGGUGUGCAGUGAACAUUGCUAGAUGAUGGCCUGUUAGAUAUGAACACAGAGCUGGAUGAUUCCAUGUUAGACAGAGAUGUCGAAGAUGAGGACUAUUCUCCUGGUGAUGAGGAUGAAUCUGAUGAGGAUAAUGAUGACGACACUGAAGAAAAAUGGUCAUUAAUGAAGGAAGCUUGCAAAUACAACUAGAAAGUCGAACGUUUUUUUUUUAUACUGUAAAUAUACUUGUUUAUUCUUUUCACCAUUGUAAGUUACAGAUACAGCUCUUGGUUGUUCUUAUCCUGUAGAACUGGCGCAAGACAAAAUGAUUCACACUUCACACUUGAUUUUUACAGCAUUUCCUUGAAGGAGAAGGAGUCCAUCGUUAAUGGAAACCCUAUUCGAAUGUGGACGUUUGUUGUUUUUUUAAUGGUGCCUUGGAGCACUCCUGCCAAUCUGUGCUGUCUGUUCCAGUCCAUGCCUGGUGGCUAUUAAAAAUAUUAGAGGAAGCCUUGCCAUGUUCAAAGCAACAUGCAGACAUGGUCACCUCAAAGAAUGGUACAGCCAACCAAUGUCAGGUUGUAUGCCUCUUGCUGGGUGCCAGUGCCAUCCUUUUUAGCGGCUGCAGUCCAGUGAAAGUGAUAGAUGUGCUCAAAAGUGUGAACAUAAUGACUUUCAAAGAGGACAUUCUGUUAUAUUCAGAAUGCUUACCUGCUUCCAACCAUCAACCUUGUGUGGGAAUGUCAACAAUCUUCCCUUCUGGGGGUAGUUCAGGGAAAACAGCUAACCCUUUGGUGGUGAUGCGCGAUGCUGCUCUUCUGGGCACACGGCCAAAUAUGGUUCAUACACUGUUAUGAACCUUGAAGACACACAGAUCUUGGACACCCAAUUGGUACAGGUAAAUAAUCUUUGCAAUGACAUUUCUCGGGAACAAGCUAGUAGUCAGGCCAAAUGUUUUGUGUAUUCAUAUAUUGUGCAAAUAAUUCCCAUUUCCCAUGAAGAACUCCCAUGCCAUGGGGUUGGAGGGCUUGAAGAGGUGCCUUGCCUUGUUACAGAGGAAAGGUGUCACCAUGAAAAACAUUGUGAAAGAACGGCACUCUCAAAUUAGGAAAUUUCUGAGGGAAACCCAUAAACCUUUGCCACUGGUUUGAUGUUUGGCAUGUCACAAAAGGUAGUCUUAGCUCUGCGUUUGUCACUUUUAUGAUUGUCCAUGCAUGUUUCAGUUUUUCGUUGAAAUGGUCGCAGUCCAUCAUCAAUCACAUUUAUUGCUCAACAGCAUCAAGCAAAGGGAACAGUGAUGAAUGUCGGCAGAAGUGGAUUGCCAACCAUGUCGUGAACAUUCACAAGGGCCAUGGUGACGCAUUUACAGAAUGUCUGCAUGAUGAACUGGUAGAGGAAAGAGAAUGGCUCAUAAAACGAUCAAAAGCAGAUAAGUAACUGCUAAUAAUACUAAAUAAUAAGAUGCUGCUCAAAGACAUUGGCAACUUAUCGCCUAUUCAACAAACAUCAAGCCUUGAAGCCUACCAUGAAGUAGUGCUAUACUUCGCUCCAAAGGCCUCCCAUUUCUCACACAAGACAAUGAAAGAAAGAUGAGGAGACUUCACCGCCACCAGAAAAGAGAGGCCGACUGGAGACACAGAGAAGGCAAAAAAUGACAGUGUGGCGUGAAGAACAGCUUUCAGUGAAAGAACAAUCACGUCACUGUGCGCUCUGUUGAUUGCUACAAGUACACGUGGCAAAUGCAUCAAGGAGAUGGCGUGGCAGUGCCAAGUAUGUUCAGACAAUGUAGAGGGUUGAAGAGGUCAUUUUAUCCACAUGCUGUGCAGAUUUGUGUGUUUGUGUAUUUCAUUGCAGUAAUUUAUAAGAAAUCUUGUUUGAAUCUUGUACAAUAAAUCUCAACAAGAAAUGAAAACAAAUUGUCGACCUCUUACUAAGAAUGGAGUGGAAAAUAUGUUUUUGUUGUGAUCACAAAAGUGAAAAUAUUACUAAUUUUAGCCCAUUGAACACAAUGCUGUGAGAAACUAUUGUCAGAAUCAGAAUCAUCUUUAUUUGC